rnacentral:rRNA from 1 species
CCUACGGGAGGCAGCAGUGGGGGAUAUUGCACAAUGGGGGGAACCCUGAUGCAGCGACGCCGCGUGGGUGAAGGAGUGCUUCGGCAUGUAAAGCCCUAUCGGCAGGGAAGAAGCAAGACGGUACCUGACUAAGAAGCACCGGCUAAAUACGUGCCAGCAGCCGCGGUAAUACGUAUGGUGCAAGCGUUAUCCGGAUUUACUGGGUGUAAAGGGAGCGCAGGCGGCGCGUUAAGCCUGGUGUGAAAGUCCGCGGCCCAACCGCGGGACUGCAUUGGGAACUGGCGCGCUGGAGUGCCGGAGGGGUAGGCGGAAUUCCUAGUGUAGCGGUGAAAUGCGUAGAUAUUAGGAGGAACACCAGUGGCGAAGGCGGCCUACUGGACGGUGACUGACGCUGAGGCUCGAAAGCGUGGGGAGCAAACAGGAUUAGAUACCCGAGUAGUC